rnacentral:rRNA from 1 species
GUGGGGAAUAUUGCGCAAUGGGGGAAACCCUGACGCAGCAACGCCGCGUGAAGGAAGAAGGUCUUCGGAUUGUAAACUUCUUUGGUUGGGGACGAUAAUGACGGUACCCAAGGAACAAGCCACGGCUAACUACGUGCCAGCAGCCGCGGUAAUACGUAGGUGGCGAGCGUUGUCCGGAAUUACUGGGUGUAAAGGGCGCGUAGGCGGGGAUGCAAGUCAGAUGUGAAAUUCCGGGGCUCAACCCCGGCGCUGCAUCUGAAACUGUAUUUCUUGAGUGCUGGAGAGGAAAGCGGAAUUCCUAGUGUAGCGGUGAAAUGCGUAGAGAUUAGGAGGAACACCAGUGGCGAAGGCGGCUUUCUGGACAGUAACUGACGCUGAGGCGCGAAAGCGUGGGGAGCAAACAGGAUUAGAAACCCUUGUAGUCC